AUUGAACGCUGGCGGCAUGCUUUACACAUGCAAGUCGAACGGUAACAGGCCGCAAGGUGCUGACGAGUGGCGAACGGGUGAGUAAUGCAUCGGAACGUGCCCAGUCGUGGGGGAUAACGCAGCGAAAGCUGCGCUAAUACCGCAUACGAUCUAUGGAUGAAAGCGGGGGACCGUAAGGCCUCGCGCGAUUGGAGCGGCCGAUGUCAGAUUAGGUAGUUGGUGGGGUAAAGGCUCACCAAGCCAACGAUCUGGAGCUGGUCUGAGAGGACGACCAGCCACACUGGGACUGAGACACGGCCCAGACUCCUACGGGAGGCAGCAGUGGGGAAUUUUGGACAAUGGGCGCAAGCCUGAUCCAGCAAUGCCGCGUGCAGGAAGAGGGCCUUCGGGUUGUAAACUGCUUUUGUACGGAACGAAACGGCUCUCACUAAUACUGGGGGCUAAUGACGGUACCGUAAGAAUAAGCACCGGCUAACUACGUGCCAGCAGCCGCCGUAAGAC
rnacentral:rRNA from 1 species